rnacentral:rRNA from 1 species
CCUACGGGUGGCAGCAGUGGGGAAUAUUGGGCAAUGGACGCAAGUCUUACCCAGCAACGCCGCGUGAAGGAAGAAGGCCUUCGGGUUGUAAACUUCUUUUAUCAGGGACGAAGAAAGUGACGGUACCCAUUGAAUAAGCCACGGCUAACUACGUGCCAGCAGCCGCGGUAAUACGUAGGUGGCAAGCGUUGUUCGGAUUGACUGGGCGUAAAGGGUGUGUAGGCGGGGUAGCAAGUCAGACGUGAAAUACCAGGGCUUAACCCAGGAGCUGCGUUUGAAACUGGUAUUCUUGAGUGGAGGAGAGGCAAGUGGAAUUCCGUGUGUAGCGGUGGAAUGCGUAGAUAUAAGGAGGAACACCAGUGGCGAAGGCGACCUUCUGGACAUUAACUGACGCUGAGGCGCGAAAGUGUGGGGAGCAAACAGGAUUAGAUACCCUGGUAGUC